rnacentral:rRNA from 1 species
UACGUAGGGUCCGAGCGUUGUCCGGAAUUACUGGGCGUAAAGGGCGCGUAGGCGGCCUUCUAAGUCGGACGUGAAAGCCCCAGGCUUAACCUGGGAACUGCGUCCGAUACUGGGAGGCUUGGAUUCGGGAGAGGGAUGCGGAAUUCCAGGUGUAGCGGUGAAAUGCGUAGAUAUCUGGAGGAACACCGGUGGCGAAGGCGGCAUCCUGGACCGGCAUUGACGCUGAGGCGCGAAAGCCAGGGGAGCAAACGGG